UCGAGGAUCUUUGGCAAUGGGCGCAAGCCUGACCAAGCGACGCCGCGUGAGCGAUGAAGGCCUUCGGGUUGUAAAGCUCUGUCGAGGGGGAGGAAGCCGCAAGGUUGACCUAUCCCUGGAGGAAGGACGGGCUAAGUUCGUGCCAGCAGCCGCGGUAAGACGAACCGUCCAAACGUUAUUCGGAAUCACUGGGCUUAAAGGGCGCGUAGGUGGGUUGGCCAGUCUAUGGUGAAAUCCUCCGGCUUAACCGGAGAACUGCCGUGGAUACUGCCAGUCUCGAGGAGGGUAGGGGCGUCUGGAACUAGCGGUGGAGCGGUGAAAUGCGUUGAUAUCGCUAGGAACUCCGGUGGCGAAGGCGAGACGCUGGACCCUUUCUGACACUGAGGCGCGAAAGCCAGGGGAGCGAACGGGAUUAGAUACCCCCGUAGUCC
rnacentral:rRNA from 1 species